AUGCUGUGUGUAUAUCUGUGUGUGUGUGUUGUGGGGGCGCUGUGUGUAUAUCAGUGUGUGUGUGUUGUGGGGGCACUGUGUGUAUAUCAGUGUGUGUGUGUUGUGGGGGCGCUGUGUGUAUAUCAGUGUGUGUGUGUGUUGUGGGGGCGCUGUGUGUAUAUCAGUGUGUGUGUGUUGUGGGGGCGCUGUGUGUAUAUCAGUGUGUGUGUGUGUUGUGGGGGCGCUGUGUGUAUAUCAGUGUGUGUGUGUUGUGGGGGCGCUGUGUGUGUAUCAGUGUGUGUGUGUAUAUCAGUGUGUGUGUGUUUUGGGGGCGCUGUGUGUGUAUCAGUGUUUGUGUGUGUGUGUGUAUAUCAGUGUGUGCGUGUUGUGGGGGCGCUGUGUGUGUAUCAGUGUGUGUGUGUGUGUGUGUGUGUGUGUUUUGGGGGCGCUGUGUGUGUAUCAGUGUUUGUGUGUGUGUGUGUAUAUCAGUGUGUGUGUGUUGUGGGGGCGCUGUGUGUGUAUCAGUGUGUGUGUGUGUGUGUGUGUGUGUGUGUUUUGGGGGCGCUGUGUGUGUAUCGGUGUGUGUGUGUAUAUCAGUGUGUGUGUGUUGUGGGGGCGCUGUGUGUGUAUAUCAGUGUGUGUGUGUGUUGUGGGGGCGCUGUGUGUGUAUCAGUGUUUGUGUGUGUGUGUGUAUAUCAGUGUGUGUGUGUGUUGUGGGGGCGCUGUGUGUGUAUCAGUGUGUGUGUGUGUGUGUGUGUGUGUGUGUGUGUGUGUGUGUGUGUGUGUGUGUGUGUUUUGGGGGCGCUGUGUGUGUAUCAGUGUGUGUGUGUAUAUCAGUGUGUGUGUGUUGUGGGGGCGCUGUGUGUGUAUCAGUGUUUGUGUGUGUGUGUGUAUAUCAGUGUGUGUGUGUGUUGUGGGGGCGCUGUGUGUGUAUCAGUGUGUGUGUGUGUGUGUGUGUGUGUGUGUGUGUGUGUGUGUGUGUGUGUGUGUGUGUGUUUUGGGGGCGCUGUGUGUGUAUCAGUGUGUGUGUGUAUAUCAGUGUGUGUGUGUUGUGGGGGCGCUGUGGGGCUCCUGCUGGCUCACUGA
rnacentral:lncRNA from 1 species